AGUCUUCACCUCGCCCCUCCCUUGCUUGGUCGCUUGGCUGGCCCGGCUCACCUUCGGGGUGACGGCUACCAGAGAGCAUUAUAGCAGACGACUUUAAUAAAUGCAGGCGGCAGGAGGAACUCUGGAAACUUGGGUGCCCUUGCCUGGCAGUAACGGUUGAAUUAUCCGGAUCUGAAAUACUUUUCAGAGCCGAGGGGUGAUACGCUCUCCAAAAGCACUUUUUGCUUCUCUCCCUUAUGCCGAUACUUGCUGACUGUGCACACAAGUCAUAUUCAGUAUUAAAUACAAACCGGUCUGUAAUUCAAUGGCUCUAGCAAGACGCCUCUGAGAGGGCCAGGUGGCGGGUGCAAGUUGCUCAUUAACCCUUUAGAGUCGCAGUUUGCAGAUCUGAGUUAGAUCCCUGGCUUUAAGGUCCUUCAGUUGCCCUCUUCCCCCACCUCCCCCCGCCACUGCGAGAAAAAUGUGCAAAGAGAAGGAAAUUUGCACAUCAAACGAGGGGCAAUCGCGGCAGUAGAUGAACUUGAUUAGGCAGACGCAUGAGAUCAAAGUGGCCGGGACCAAAGUGGACAGGGUCCAACGUGCCGGCACUGCCAAGGGAAGGCCUUCUGUACUCAGGUUAAAUAAGAACAUCCUGCAAGGAGUCUGUUCUUUUAUGCAGCCUAAAGAUCAAGUAAUAAUCAUUGACAUUGAUAGUGAGUAUGUCGAUUUUGAAGAGACUGGCAUGAACCUUGAAGAAUCAUGUUCUUCCUAGGAAUUACAAAUCCCUCGAUUCCAUGUCUAACAUAAUUUCUACUGGCCUCUUUGCUUCUCAUGCUUUAGUACCAGUGCUUCUGAAUUUGAAAGUCUUCAUGCAAAUUGCCCAACUGAGAGGGCAGCCACUGUUGAGGAAAUGAUGAUCACAACAUCACAGGGAAAGGAGAAUGUAAUAAAGCAAGAACUGGCUCUUAAAACUUCCGUUUGCAGUGACAAGGCUCACCUUUCAAUGGCCAAAGCAAGUUGAAAAGCCAAACCUGACUUACAUGGCACAGAAAAGUACCCCGGGGAGGGAAAUCAGACAUUGAUGAACUGUGGCCAAAAUCCAGCUGAGCCAGAAGCUCAGGUCACCAGUAUCAUUUCUCCCCAGAGGACUGAGUCCUCCUGCAAAUUCACUCCUAGUAUCCUGCCCCGAUGUACCAGAUGCCAGAGGUCUGUUGAAAACUUGCCUCGUAAAUGAUUUGCAUAUACAAGAACUCAGAGAAAGCAUCCUGUUUUGUUGAGAGGUGCACCAAGUGACUUUUUCAUCAUUGGUUUCAUAACGAGGUGUGGUUAGCAGUCAUUUCCAAUUUUUCUUUUGGGUUGGACCAUUGUCAAUGGAGUCUAUAAAAUGAGAUAUGUUAGAACUUGACUGCACUAAUUUAUUUUUACAGAAUCUGCACAGCUUAGCAAAACAGGAAUACCUGUAUACAGACUGAUAGAAUGUCAUAUAUUAAUUUGACCUGCACAUACAUGUAUACAUUUCACAGAAAUGACGCUGUAUCUCAUUAACAGAUACACAGCUCUGGUACAUUUAACAGAAAUAAGAGAACAACUUCAUCAUUUCUGUAAUUCAUCAAUAUUAUAUAAUAAAGGCUUAUAAAUUGUUAGCAGAAAGAACUGUAAAACGCAGCAAGCUAAGAAAGGACAACAUUUUGAGGUGUGUUUGUCUUUGUCAUGCAGCAUAACACCAAAUUUGUUUUUUUAAUAGGAUGCCAUGAAUUUAAGGCACUUGCAACAAUGCCAGAUAGCCAGGUCAUGUUCUAAACUAUGGGACAGAUGAAUAACAGUACAGUCGACAUAAUUUUCAAUAAUACUGACAAUUAUGACAUUAAUUCAAGUCUACUUGGACCUAAAAACAUUAUUCAAUACAAAUAAAAUGAAAUAAUAAUGCUGUGAAACACUAAAAAAAGUUCUAUGUACCACAAAAUAUCACACAAAAAUAUCUAUUUACAUAAAUAUUUGUCUGUGGUCCUAUUGUGAAAGAAAACGUUGUUAUGGAUAAUGCACAGAUCACCUCUAUUGUAUGAAAUCAGUUCUAAUAUCCUUAUUUUCAAUAUGGUAGUUGACUUCAUUAAAUUUGUUUACCAUCAGUUCAGUCAUUUAGAAAUGAAACAGGAAAAAUUCAAUAGUUGAGUUUAUUACUACACAUGUGUAAUUCACAUGUGUAUUCUACAAUUUUAGGUAAAAAUUAUGACUUGUAAAGAAUAUAAUCAAAAUAUAUUUGUUUUGAAUGCCACAUAGAUCUGAUUCAUGUCUUAAUAAGAAAGAAGAUAUAAACAUAAAAAGCAGGUAUAGUGUUUUUCCAGAAAUUAUUUUUUCGAAUAUAUUCAAUGUAUCUUAGUUGUUUUAAUGUUGCUUCCCUUGGCAGUUUCAGUUUUCCUGUGAGUCAAGACACACAGAAAGCCCUUAUUUCCCAUACUCAACACAUUAACAAGAAAAUCAUAUAACAAAUCAAACAAGUUGGCACUAUUCUAACUUAUCCAGAUGUUCUUUAGUGUAAGAAAAUAGAGGGGCUGUGAAAAAUUCAGAAAUAAAGUGAGAUGCAUUUUAUGGAACUGACCAUGAAUUUUAGCCCUAGAGUCUUCAUUAAGACAAGAUUUAAAUCCUAAAAAUUCAACGUUGACAAAAUUAGAUGAACGUUUUCUGUUGGUACAUCUUGGAAGAUGUAGUUUACCUUUAUUUUGUGGUGAUUGCUUCAGACAUCAAAUGCAAUGCUAUGGGUGAAAUGAACAAAGAUGCGUAACAAGUGGGAGAAACAAUCUACAGUUACAUUGUGCUGAAUGCUACUUCUUCCUUCUCCAUUGAACUUAUUCAUAUUGGUUGUCUUAGACUUGAACCACAGUUCCAAAAUCCAUAGUAAGUGCUAAGCUCUGGGACUUUGGGGAUUUUUAAAACGUUAUAGGAGCAGAUUCUCCUUCCAAAUAACAAGGUAAAUUUAGUAUUCUAGCAAGUCUUUAGCAAGCCUAAACCACAUUGUCUUUCAACAAAAAUUACUGAACAUUCACUAUAAUGUUGGAAUUAUAUAUUUUUAAAUACCCAAUUAAAAAUAUAAAACUCUUGAAAUAACAUUCAUAGCUAGAUUUUAGGUUGAUAUGUUUAAUUUUAUAUUCUAAAAUCUGUAGAAAACAGUGGAUAUCUUGGGGAAUAGACCAAUUUGGAGAAACUGUAAGGGAGGGAAAACUCCAAAAAUACAAGAAUAACAAUAUUUUAGGAUUAAAGUUUUCAUUGAAGUUUAUUCCCUUUUCAUUUUAUCCUCCAAAAUUUUAAGAAUAUUAUAUUUUUAUAAGAUACCAUAUUCUAAUGUAGUUUUGAGUAAGAACAAUUCAAGCAAAAUUUAUAAUAUUUGCCUUCUUAGUUAAGGUGUAAUGAUCUAAUUGGACUUUUUCUUCCAGAAAUGUAGACAUUUGAUUGAUUAAAAAGAAAACUCUACUGAAAAAAAAAA